rnacentral:antisense_RNA from 1 species
GGACACCUCGGGGGUUUCCUGCUUUAUGGCGAAGGUGAAAGAACAUCAGUGUAUCAGCACAGCAAAUAUUCCAAAUGCCAGGCUGGAUUCCCUCCAAUUACCAGAACCUCCAGGCUUCUCCUCCUUUCAAGAACUUUCUGACCCUGGAUCCAGUCUAAAUGUUGGUUAUAAACUCACCUGACAUCCACAGGGCCCUUCCAAAGUACUGUCAAGGCUGACUGCUGGUGCCUGGAACCUGCACACCCUCCUGGGACUCUGCAUCUCUGCUGGGGCUGGUUUCUCCUCUGAGCCACCUUAAGGAAUCCCAUCCUGACCCGGUCAGAGCUCAGCAUGCCUCCCUCUCCUACUUGCUCAGCAUUUUCUGUCUAUCUAGACUGAAGCCUUUGCUUUCUCUCUGUGAUUGUGGUGAAAGUUCAGUUUGCUUUCCUCUCUCUAGAAUGUCAGCAUGAAGGCAGAGGGAUGGUCUCCUGAGUUCCAUAACCCCAAAGCCUAACUCCCUGCCUGCCACACUGAGGGGCUCAGUAGACAUUGACUUACUAAAUUGAAUAGUUGAGUAAUAAUGCUCUU